rnacentral:misc_RNA from 1 species
CUCCCCUUGAUCGUGUUUAGAGAUGGCGGCAAAUAAGGAAGCCAUAGCUAUUGUGCUGGAUGUGGGUCCCUCCAUGAACCAGGCACCGCCGGGGGAGGUGUCCUCACUACAGACAGCUAUUGAUGCCAUCACUAUGAUUCUCCAGAGGAAGAUGUUCUCUGAGUCUAAGGAUGAGGUAUCUCUGGUUCUGUUUGGUACUGAUGGCACAGACAACCCUCUGGCUGAUGGAGACAGCUACCAAAACAUCACCAUUGCCCGACCUCUUGGGGUCGCGGACUUUGACCUGCUCCAGCAGGUGAAGGAUGAGAUUCAGCCUUCAGACACAGCAGCUGACUUCCUAGAUGCAGUGGUUGUUGCCAUGGAUCACCUUGUCCAGGGAAUACAGGGUAAGAGAGGGUUUGCAUCGAAGCGUAUCAUCCUGCUGUCAGACCUGGGGGGCGAGUUUGGAGACGAUCAGCUGGACACCAUCAUUGGUGCACUCCACAACUCGGGGACAAAUAUUGACGUCAUUGGCCCCAACAUUGACGAUGAUGAGGAUGAGGAAGGAGGGGGAGGCGAUGCAGGGGGGGCAUCGGUCAACGGUCACCGCAAGGACAAGACCCCUCAGCAGCGAGCAGGGGAAGCUUUGAUUAAACAUAUUCUGGACCAAGUUGAGGGGGAAUGCUAUUCAUUCAGUGAAGCGUUACCUGCCCUUAGUUACUUCACAGCUCGUCAGGUCCGCCCUACAGCAUGGAAAUGCACAAUGGAUAUUGGUCCCGAUCUCCGUAUACCAAUAAACUUUUAUGGAAAAAUAAAAGACUUCAAGUUGAAGCAGAGCUGGAAAAAGGUUUAUGCAAAGGAUCCUGACCAAACGGUGGGCAACUUGCGGACACAGCACAUGAAUGACGAGGAGGAGACAGAGGUGGAGAGAGAGGACAUUGUACAGGGUUAUCGCUAUGGUAACACGUUAGUGCCGAUGUCUGAGGAUGACAAAGAAAACAUGAAGUAUAAAGCAGAGAAAUGUCUGAAGGUUCUUGGCUUUACAAAAAGUGAUAAUGUAAAACGCCAUCAUUUCUUGGGAGAUGGGACAAAUGUUGUUUUUGCUGAGAAAGGAGAUGAGGCUGCUGGAGUUGCCCUUUCUGCCAUGAUCAACGCCCUCUAUGAGACAAACAUGGUGAUUAUUGCUCGCAGGGUCUACUCCAGUGCUUCAGGACCUAAACUUGGAAUUCUCUGGCCCUCAAUCAAGGCCAAUUAUGAGUGUUUGUAUUGGGCAGAAAUCCCUUUUGCCGAGGAUCUACGUCAGUUCACCUUUGGAUCACUGCCAAUCAUGGAUGAUGUUGAAACAAACAAGAAAUACAAACCUACAGCUGAGCAGCUCAGUGCAGUGGAUGACCUCAUCACAGCCAUGGACCUCAGCCAGGCAGCAGCGGAUGAUGACGAUGAAGAAGAAGAAAAGUCUGAGUUUCUGAAGCCAAAACUGACCUUCAACCCAUACUUUCAGAGAUUAUACCAGUGCCUACAACACCGAGCUGAAAACACAGACGAGGGAUUGCCAGAGUUAUCCCCACUUAUUGCAAGCUAUCUCAAACCACCACAAGAAGUUCUCACAAGAUGUGAAGAACAUGUGGAGAAAAUGAAAAAUGUAUUUAAACUUGAAAUGGUUUCUAAGAAGAAAGAUGAAAAAACAGGAGAAGCAAUGUUUAAGGAUAAUGAGGCGGAGGCAGGACCAGCUCCAAAACGACAAAAGCUGGAUGACAACCUUGAAGGAGGGAUGCAAGAUAUCACAAGGGCAAAGGUCACUCAGGUUGGGACGGUGACCCCGACAGCUGACUUCCAGGCCCUCAUCAGCAGGAAGGAUGAGGACAUGUUUGAAGAAGCUUGCCAACAAAUGCAGAAGAGAGUGGAACAGAUAGUGUCUGAUUCUUUUGGCACCCAGUUCUACAGCAAGGCCAUGGAGUGUCUCAAAGCGCUCAGACAGGAGUGUAUCAAGAAACAAGAAGCAAAGGUGUACAAUGAUUUCAUGACCAAGUACAAGGACACUCUAAUUGGAAAAGGGAAAAGAGAUUUCUGGGAUCAAAUUGUUCAAGAUAAGCAGGCACUGAUCACCAAGCUGGAGUGUGAAGAUGGUGGAGUGUCCAAGGAGGCAGCACACAAGUUUGUUGAGGAGGAGGUGAAGGAGGAGCCGGCGUCAGCCGCCGAUGCAGAAACAACAGACGACCUGAUGGAUCAGUUGGAGUAGAUUCGGCAAGACAAAAUCAAAUACUACCAGGGUUACAACUGAUUUUGUUGAAGGCAAAUCCCUGGGUUGGAUUCAACAGGCAGCUCAAAGAUUGUCAACACGAAUGAGAUUCUGUUCAUAGCUCAGCUCCUGGUCAUGAACAAGUCUUAAGUUGCUUUAUAUGUCAUCUGAAUGUAAAUAAUCAUUAUCUCUCCAUAUGGAUAACAAUUUUAGUCAAUCUAUUGCUUACAGGCACCCAGCUACCUGUGAAGAGCAUUCAUUGUGUCAUUUGUUCUUGUAGCCAACAGGAGUUCUGGCAUAGAAGAAUAACUGGAUGCAUUUCAUAUUUGCGAGAUGGCAAUCUCGUGAGAUCCUUUAUUCUGUUUCUGGGGAUUUUCUGAUCAGCCAAUCAGUGUGUUGAAUUCUAAAUUCUCAACCGUGUGUGAGACAAGCAUA